rnacentral:rRNA from 1 species
AUGACACCAACCUGCAUGGGUAUGGUGUGGAAAGUUUUUCGGUCUGGGAUGGACUCGCGGCCUAUCAGCUUGUUGGUGAGGUAAUGGCUCACCAAGGCGACGACGGGUAGCCGGCCUGAGAGGGCGACCGGCCACACUGGGACUGAGACACGGCCCAGACUCCUACGGGAGGCAGCAGUGGGGAAUAUUGCACAAUGGGCGAAAGCCUGAUGCAGCGACGCCGCGUGAGGGAUGACGGCCUUCGGGUUGUAAACCUCUUUCAGCAGGGAAGAAGCGCAAGUGACGGUACCUGCAGAAGAAGCACCGGCUAACUACGUGCCAGCAGCCGCGGUAAUACGUAGGGUGCGAGCGUUGUCCGGAAUUAUUGGGCGUAAAGAGCUUGUAGGCGGUUUGUCGCGUCUGCCGUGAAAAUUCGAGGCUCAACCUCGAACUUGCGGUGGGUACGGGCAGACUAGAGUGUGGUAGGGGAGACUGGAAUUCCUGGUGUAGCGGUGAAAUGCGCAGAUAUCAGGAGGAACACCGAUGGCGAAGGCAGGUCUCUGGGCCACUACUGACGCUGAGAAGCGAAAGCAUGGGGAGCGAACAGGAUUAGAUACCCUGGUAGUCCAUGCCGUAAACGUUGGGAACUAGGUGUGGGUCUCAUUCCACGAGAUCCGUGCCGCAGCUAACGCAUUAAGUUCCCCGCCUGGGGAGUACGGCCGCAAGGCUAAAACUCAAAGGAAUUGACGGGGGCCCGCACAAGCGGCGGAGCAUGCGGAUUAAUUCGAUGCAACGCGAAGAACCUUACCAAGGCUUGACAUAUGCGAGAACGCGGCAGAGAUGUCGUUCUCUUUGGACACUCGCAUACAGGUGGUGCAUGGUUGUCGUCAGCUCGUGUCGUGAGAUGUUGGGUUAAGUCCCGCAACGAGCGCAACCCUCGUUCUAUGUUGCCAGCACGUGAUGGUGGGGACUCAUAGGAGACUGCCGGGGUCAACUCGGAGGAAGGUGGGGAUGACGUCAAAUCAUCAUGCCCCUUAUGUCUUGGGCUUCACGCAUGCUACAAUGGCCGGUACAAAGGGCUGCGAUACCGCGAGGUGGAGCGAAUCCCAAAAAACCGGUCUCAGUUCGGAUUG